GAUGAACGCUGGCGGCGUGCCUAAUACAUGCAAGUCGAGCGAACGGACGGGAAGCUUGCUUCUCUGAUGUUAGCGGCGGACGGGGGAGUAACACGUGGAUAACCUCCCUAUAAGACUGGGAUAACUUCGGGAAACCGGAGCUAAUACCGGAUAAUAUUUUGAACCGCAUGGUUAAAAAGUGAAAGACGGGCUUGCUGUAACUUAUAGAUGGAUCCGCGCUGCAUUAGCUAGUUGGUAAGGUAACGGCUUACCAAGGCAACGAUGCAUAGCCGACCUGAGAGGGUGAUCGGCCACACUGGAACUGAGACACGGUCCAGACUCCUACGGGAGGCAGCAGUAGGGAAUCUUCCGCAAUGGGCGAAAGCCUGACGGAGCAACGCCGCGUGAGUGAUGAAGGUCUUCGGAUCGUAAAACUCUGUUAUUAGGGAAGAACAUAUGUGUAAGUAACUGUGCACAUCUUGACGGUACCUAAUCAGAAAGCCACGGCUAACUACGUG
rnacentral:rRNA from 1 species